UUACGGCCAUAUCACGAUGAAACACCGGUUCCCAUAUGAUCAUCGAAGUUAAGCAACUUGUCAGUACCAGAUGGGUGACCGUUUGGGAAUACUAAUUACUGUAA